CAUUAAGUCAUCCACCGAACCAAAUAAUCUGAACGCCAACUCACCGUCGUUUCAUCUUUGCGUGCACUGACGACUCCUAACAGACAUCUCUCCGGACUUCACAUAAAGCUCCUGUGCGAUCAUGAAGACCCUUUGUGUUGUCAUACUUGCAGCGAUGAUGGUCAUGGUGACGUCACGCGCACGUUAUCCGGAAAAACUGGAAUCACCACGGCAAGCACACCGUAGCGCUUUUGAAGCACUGUGGGAUGCAAUUCAGAGAAAUGAAGAUCCUAGCUGUGACUAUGCUGGCUGCUACGAUCCCUGCUUGAGGCGAACAGGAAAACCAUCGUCAUGUUCUCAUUGCGGUUCCGAUUGCGAUUAAACUAUAUCAAAAUGAGUGGCUGCAAUUGUAUCCAUGGACUACGGACUUCUGGACAAGUGGUUAUUCCUUCUUAGCGUAUUCAGUGUAGUACAUUACCUUAU